AUUGAACGCUGGCGGCAGGCCUAACACAUGCAAGUCGAACGAGUGGCGGACGGGUGAGUAAUGUCUGGGAAACUGCCUGAUGGAGGGGGAUAACUACUGGAAACGGUAGCUAAUACCGCAUACCAUCGGAUGUGCCCAGAUGGGAUUAGCUAGUAGGUGGGGGAAAGGCUCACCUAGGCGUCGAUCCCUAGCUGGUCUGAGAGGAUGACUGGUCACACUGGAACUGAGCCACGGUCCAGACUCCGCCGGGAGGCAGCAGUGGGGAAUAUUGCACAAUCGGCGCAAGCCUGAUGCAGCGAUGCCGCGUGUAUGAAGCAGGCCUUCGGGUUGUAAAGUACUUUCAGCAGGGAGGCGUUACCCGCAGCAGAGGCACCGGCUGACUCCGUGCCAGCCGCCGCGGUAAUAC
rnacentral:rRNA from 1 species